rnacentral:lncRNA from 1 species
AGCUAUAGAUUAUAGAAAUAAAAAUUUUCCGUAUGAAAUUUCCCUCCUAAGGGUCGGCCCAAGUCCAGGACCUGUCUGGGAAUUGUGGACAUAUCGGUAGGACACGGGCAAGGAUUGCCAUCUCGCUCAGCACCUGUUUCCUUGAACGAUGAGAAUAACCCAUCUCUCCUGUUUUAAGUGUGAUUUGUCAUAUACAUCAAUAGGCAUCUUGGCUCAACAUACGAAAGCCCCUUUCCACAGAGACAGCUGCCUCCAGCCUGAAGAAGUUGCCACAGGAGGUAGAAGGAGGUCCCUUGCCCAUGCCUGGGAGACCCAGCCAGAGUGGACAGGGAGGCGGCCCGGGCCGGGGUGCCAGACUCAGCAAAUAAACACAGCAUGCCCAGGUAACUCUGAAUUUCAGAUAACCAACGAAUAACUUUGUGUGAUACUAUAUUUGUACUCAAAAGUAACUCGUUUAUCUGAAAUUCAAAGUUGACGGCGCAUGUGGUACUGUAUUGAAUCUGGCAACGCUCCACCUUGGUUUUCCUACCCGGGUUUGUGGAAGGGGCUCCCCCUGCCCCGCAGGUGCCGCCCCGAGGAGGUGGAGGAGGAGGAGCCGGGCACUGACUGGGGACCCAGGUGAGUCUAGCAAAUGACAAGGCCCAACGGUCAAAACCGCCUCAGUAAUGCGCUCGUCCAAAGCACGCACUUAACGCUCAAUCCUGGUGUCGCGUCCCGUUGCCAGGCAACGAAAGCAAGCGCUGCAAAGACGAAGGGGAGCGCCCAAGGAUGAGGAACGUUCCAAGACACUGAGUGAUUUGCUGAAAAUCACACAUCUAGAUGCAAAGCCAGAAUGCGAGCAGUGACCACCACACUUGACAAAUCCGUUGUUGCACACAUUUGUACUCUUCAAUCAACAAAACCUGAUGCAAAAAACAGAAAAGGGGGAGAUGUACAUGCAUUUUCCCUCACUGCAAAAAAAACACAACUUGUUUAACUACAGGUGUGUUCCUGGUGGUCUUUGAAUGAAGACAUUGACAGAAAGUAACAUAGCAUGCUGGUUAAAGACUGUUUUUAUUCGAAUCCUGGCUUUGCCAAUCAACAGCUGCAUAAAUUAAACUCUCGACCUCAGCUCCCUUAUUUGUAAAACAAGAAUAACAAAAAGACAUUUUUAUAAGGUUGGGUUGAAGGUUAAAUGAAAUAACAGAAGAUUAUCUCUUCACUAAUUUUAGCUGUAGAAAACAGAAGCCAAUCGAAAGAGCUCCCAGUCCAAAGCUGGAACAACUUGAACAACAAAAUAAAUAAUGUAGCAUUGGAUUACAAACCAACCAUAAAACAAAUAUCCAUGAGUCUAUACUGAUGUCAAUAAAUGAAUAAAUGUGGGAAAAUA